rnacentral:rRNA from 1 species
UACGGAGGGUGCGAGCGUUGUCCGGAAUCACUGGGCGUAAAGGGCGCGUAGGUGGCCUGUGGAAGUCUGCGGUGAAAGCCCGGCGCUCAACGCCGGGUCGGCCGUGGAUACUCUCGGGCUUGAGCUCACUAGAGGCAGAUGGAAUUCCGGGUGUAGCGGUGGAAUGCGUAGAGAUCCGGAAGAACACCGGUGGCGAAGGCGGUCUGCUGGG